AGUGAACGCUGGCGGUAGGCCUAACACAUGCAAGUCGAACGGCAGCACAGUAAGAGCUUGCUCUUACGGGUGGCGAGUGGCGGACGGGUGCGGAAUACAUCGGAAUCUACUUUUUCGUGGGGGAUAACGUAGGGAAACUUACGCUAAUACCGCAUACGACCUACGGGUGAAAGCAGGGGAUCUUCGGACCUUGCGCGAUUGAAUGAGCCGAUGUCGGAUUAGCUAGUUGGCGGGGUAAAGGCCCACCAAGGCGACGAUCCGUAGCUGGUCUGAGGGGAUGAUCCGCCACACUGGAUCUGAGGCACGGUCCAGACUCCUACGGGAGGCAGCAGUGGGGAAUAUUGGACAAUGGGCGCAAGCCUGAUCCAGCCAUACCGCGUGGGUGAAGAAGGACUUCGGGUUGUAAAGCCCUUUUGUUGGGAAAGAAAAGCAGCAGGUUAAUACCCCGCUGUUCUGACGGUACCCAAAGAAUAAGCACCGGCUAACUUCGUG
rnacentral:rRNA from 1 species